rnacentral:rRNA from 1 species
UACGGAGGGUGCAAACGUUGCUCGGAAUCAUUGGGCGUAAAGCGCACGUAGGCGGCCUCGCAAGUCGGAUGUGAAAUCCCUCGGCUUAACCAAGGAAGUGCAUUCGAAACUGCAAGGCUUGAAUACUGGAGAGGGUCGCGGAAUUCUCGGAGUAGAGGUGAAAUUCGUAGAUAUCGGGAGGAACACCAGUGGCGAAGGCGGCGACCGGGCCAGAUAUUGACGCUGAGGUGCGAAAGCGUGGGGAGCAAACAGG